AACGAACGCUGGCGGCGCGCCUAAUACAUGCAAGUCGAGCGAGAAGACGUAGCAAUACGUUUGUAAAGCGGCGAACGGGUGAGGAAUACAUGGGUAACCUACCCUCGAGUGGGGAAUAACUAGCCGAAAGGUUAGCUAAUACCGCGUACGCUCCUUGGACUUCGGUUCAGGGAGGAAAGCGAUACCGUGGGUAUCGCGCUCUUGGAUGGGCUCAUGUCCUAUCAGCUUGUUGGUGAGGUAACGGCUCACCAAGGCUUCGACGGGUAGCUGGUCUGAGAGGACAAUCAGCCACACUGGCACUGCGACACGGGCCAGACUCCGUACGGGAGGCAGCAAGUAAGGAAUAUUGCGCAAGUGGGACGAAAGCCUGACGCAGCGACGCCGCGGUGGGGGAUGGAAGGUC
rnacentral:rRNA from 1 species